AGUGAACGCUGGCGGUAGGCCUAACACAUGCAAGUCGAACGGCAGCACAGUAAGAGCUUGCUCUUACGGGUGGCGAGUGGCGGACGGGUGAGGAAUACAUCGGAAUCUACUUUUUCGUGGGGGAUAACGUAGGGAAACUUACGCUAAUACCGCAUACGACCUACGGGUGAAAGCAGGGGAUCUUCGGACCUUGCGCGAUUGAAUGAGCCGAUGUCGGAUUAGCUAGUUGGCGGGGUAAAGGCCCACCAAGGCGACGGUCCGUAGCUGGUCUGAGAGGAUGGUCAGCCACACUGGAACUGAGCCACGGUCCAGACUCCUACGGGAGGCAGCAGUGGGGAAUAUUGGCCAAUGGGCGAAAGCCUGAUCCAGCCAUACCGCGUGGGUGAAGAAGGCCUUCGGGUUGUAAAGCCCUUUUGUUGGGAAAGAAAAGCAGCAGGUUAAUACCCCGCUGUUCUGACGGUACCCACAGAAUAAGCACCGGCUAACUUCGUG
rnacentral:rRNA from 1 species